AGCUUUGCACAGUGGCAGUAUCGUAGCCAACGAAGUUUAUCCAAGGCGCGAUUAUUGCUAAUUGAAAAAUAAGUACAAAAACUAAGCACACAAUGAGGUACUGUCAUUUGGGCUUCAUCAUAUGUUACAGCUUAAUGAGCU
rfam:Tupaia chinensis contig40888, whole genome shotgun sequence.